rnacentral:lncRNA from 1 species
UGGGAUUAGAUCGGAGGCUUUGGGAAAGGGUAUAGUUCCAGAGGCAUUCCGGACCGAAGCCAACUCCAGAACAACUGAGGGACAGACGAUGGGAUCAAGAACCACUCGUCAAGAGGAGCACUACACCUGCAACGCUGACACUUCCAAUGUUGCUGAUAUUUAUGGUGUCCAUGGCGAUUACAGAGUGUCACAAACAACUACAAUGGACGCAAGAACAUAUGCAGAAGAUUAAAGUGAUCCCUUUGGAAGCUGGCUGGACGGACUGUUUGGGGGAACGGGUUCACGGUUAAAGCAAUUGCUUAAAGCUCUCGCAGUAGGAUUUGCAAUCUUUGUGUGUAUUCUAAUCUGUCUUCCAUGCUUUGUAGGAUGCUUGCAGAACUGCCUUCAACGAAUGAUGGACAAGACUUUUGACUAUCACAUUGAGUAUCAUAGAUUGCGUG